rnacentral:rRNA from 1 species
GACGAACGCUGGCGGCGUGCUUAACACAUGCAAGUCGAACGCUGAAGCUUGGUGCUUGCACUGGGUGGAUGAGUGGCGAACGGGUGAGUAAUACGUGAGUAACCUGCCCUUGACUCUGGGAUAAGCCUGGGAAACUGGGUCUAAUACUGGAUAUGACAUGCCGCUGCAUGGUGGUGUGUGGAAAGGGUUUUACUGGUUUUGGAUGGGCUCACGGCCUAUCAGCUUGUUGGUGGGGUAAUGGCCUACCAAGGCGACGACGGGUAGCCGGCCUGAGAGGGUGACCGGCCACACUGGGACUGAGACACGGCCCAGACUCCUACGGGAGGCAGCAGUGGGGAAUAUUGCACAAUGGGCGGAAGCCUGAUGCAGCGACGCCGCGUGAGGGAUGACGGCCUUCGGGUUGUAAACCUCUUUCAGCACGGAAGAAGCGAGAGUGACGGUACGUGCAGAAGAAGCGCCGGCUAACUACGUG